GUGGGGAAUAUUGCACAAUGGGGGAAACCCUGAUGCAGCGACGCCGCGUGAGUGAGGAAGUAUUUCGGUAUGUAAAGCUCUAUCAGCAGGGAAGAAGAAAUGACGGUACCUGACUAAGAAGCCCCGGCUAACUACGUGCCAGCAGCCGCGGUAAUACGUAGGGGGCAAGCGUUAUCCGGAUUUACUGGGUGUAAAGGGAGCGCAGGCGGCAUGAUAAGUCUGAUGUGAAAACCCAAGGCUCAACCAUGGGACUGCAUUGGAAACUGUCGUGCUGGAGUGUCGGAGAGGUAAGCGGAAUUCCUAGUGUAGCGGUGAAAUGCGUAGAUAUUAGGAGGAACACCAGUGGCGAAGGCGGCUUACUGGACGAUGACUGACGCUGAGGCUCGAAAGCGUGGGGAGCAAACAGGAUUAGAAACCCUAGUAGUCC
rnacentral:rRNA from 1 species